UGGGCCUGCAGCAGCCACAGCCCCCCGAGUCAUCAAUCAGGCCCAUCUGUGGAGGGCCCCUGCAUGCCGGGCGGGGGUGCACGUUAAAAUCAAAGGAGGCCCCGACGUGGCAGCACUGUGGUGAGUGGAGGGGCAGAAGACACUCACAGCCUCCCAGGAAAGGGAUGCUGAUGGGACUGCUGGAGCCAGGGCCCAGUCAUCCAGUGCAGUGUGACCGAGAGUCUCCUACUAGAGACAGGAGCUGAGCUUUAGCUGACCUGGACCAGAAGCCAGAGGGCAGGAGAACCCCAGGGAUGCACUUUGCAGGGACAUGGUAGCCUAUGGUCUCUGGUCAUACCACAGGGAGCCCAGGAAGUCCAAUGACAGACAUGAUCCAGGUGCAGGUAACGGGUAGACAAGUAUGUUCUGAGCUCACUCGCAAGGCCCCAGACAUGUCUAAUGAGCAGGAAUUGCAAAAUGGCCACGGAUCCUACUUGUUCGCCUUCGCAGAGUCUCCGAGCAGUCACAUGGACCCAGAUUUUUCAACUGUGUGACCGCUGCAGGCAAAACGGCUUGCUGGCAGCGUGUGUAACUGGGAGAUGGCUUCUGUGUUUCCCGGGAUCCAGUCUGCGGACGAAUUCCUUCCUCAUGCUAAGACUGCGGAUGGCUGGACUGAGUGACACCGUGGGGUGGGGGAUGGUCUGGAGAGUCAUAAUCAGUUUAGGGUUUCACAGGGCAAUGCCAUUUCAAAAUAUAGUCUGGCCUGAGAAUCAG